AAACCGUUAUUCAUUUUACAUAUCUGAAAUAAUGACUUUGCAUGGCAAAAAAGAGACAAAGCAAAGGAAUACAAUUUAAAAAGAAAAAACUGUCACAGGCUGCGGAAGGACAAAACAACAAACGGCAUGCCAUAAUACCAAAAGCCGACUGCAUACGCAGCUCAGAGUACUCCUAUCGAAGUAGGCCAUGUUGCAGACCUUUGCAGCAUGAUUAUCCAUGGAUGAUGCAGAUAUGUUACUCCAAGAACCUGCAAGUCAUUUUCCCAAAGACAUGUGGUGACCUGAAGAAUUAAAAGCCAUACAUCAUAUCAUGUAAUCCGACUUUGGCAAGGAUAAACAACACACAAAGCCAACAUAAGUUCAAGUCCACCAAGGCCAAUGAUGUGCAAACUUCACAUUUGCAGCCAAUAUGCAGGAAUCAACUUGACAUCAGAAUCUUACACACCCUACAUCAUAAAGGUAAAUAACUUAAAGUUGCAGGGGAAGGGAAACAAGGUUGAUACGUGAUGGUAAGUUGUACACUUACAAAGGACAUAUUAUUUUCAUUUCCUCACGAACCUUCAUGAUUUUCUUACCACCACUUGACA
rnacentral:lncRNA from 1 species